GACGAACGCUGGCGGCGUGCUUAACACAUGCAAGUAGAACGGAAAGGCCCUGCUUUUGUGGGGUGCUCGAGUGGCGAACGGGUGAGUAACACGUGAGUAACCUGCCCUUGACUUUGGGAUAACUUCUGGAAACUGGGGCUAAUACCGGAUAGGAGCUCCUGCUGCAUGGUGGGGGUUGGAAAGUUUCGGCGGCUGGGGAUGGACUCGCGGCUUAUCAGCUUGUUGGUGGGGUAGUGGCAUAGCAAGGCUUUGACGGGUAGCCGGCCUGAGAGGGUGACCGGCCACAUUGGGACUGAGAUACGGCCCGGACUCCUACGGGGGGCAGCAGUGGGGGAUAUUGCGCAAUGGGCGGAAGCCUGAUGCAGCAACGCCGGGUGCUGGAUGACUGCCUUCGGGUUGUAAACCGCUUUCGCCUGUGACGAAGCGUGAGUGACGGUAACUGGUAAAGAAGCACCGGCUAACUACGUG
rnacentral:rRNA from 1 species